GUCGCGAAACGAGGCACAAGCCGAAGCUCAGGGUGAGAGUGUAAAUAGUCGCGCACAGCACGCCUCGUAGCGCUCGCGUCCGGAGGUGCGAGCGAGCGAGGUGCGAGCUGUGAUACGAGACGAAGCACAAGACGAGGGAAACUCUUUCUACGAACCGUCUAACCGGCCUUGGUGGGGCCGGAGAGGAUGUGUGAGACUCGGCCUGGAAAUGUAUACACUACCUACAUUAAAGCUUUAAACUUCAUACCUUUAAUAAUAUACAUCUCGUCUGCCCGUGAUCACGGUUGCUGCAAAGUGACCGAAACGUCGGGAGUAUGUAGUUUUAUGAAAAUAAUAAAAUAGGCGUAGUAUAAUCGGAAAAA